AGAGACGAGCAGGGCUGGUGUGCAGGGCCGCUCAGGGGCAGCCGGCAUUGUCAUAGCGCCACCUGGCGCCAGGCGGUGCUGCGGGCACAGAACCCCGCCGGCUGGAUGCAACCUGCGGGACCCAGGGGCGGGGAAGGGGUCCCGCUCCAGUCCGAGCGAGGCUGCGGGAGGAGGGAGCGGGGCUGGGUCUGACCCUGGAGGUGAGACAGCCUCGUACCGCAUCUCCAGACCCAGCGUUAUGCAGGGGAGACCUCCUGUCCGGGGGCUCCAGAGCCUAUUCAGUCCCACGCUUCUGAUCCAUGUUUGUUCCUGGACAAAAGGAACUGGUGGCAGGAGCCAGCUAGAAACUCAACCAGCAACAGCAGAGGAAAGCAGCUGCAGCAGUGGCCUGGAGUCAUGAUGUCAGCAGCCUCUCACUGGUUUUUACCGCAUUUACACUGGAGUUCUCUCCUCUCUGAUCGGUGGCUGUUGGCUCCUGCUCCAUUAUGCUGCCUUCCUUCUGGGCUCCCAUUUUUCUUUCCCCUCCUUUUAAGGUCCAUGCUUAGAUUUUUUUUUUUUAAGCUAAUCUGCUCUCACCACAACCCCAGCCAACUAUUAAAAAAAAAAAAAAGUAGCUAACAUGCCCACUGCUGACCAUCACGUUGUUUAUUCAGAUUAGAUGCUCUCCUUUGUCUGUCUUGCUUAUUUAGAUUGUAAAUUCUUUGGAGCAGGGACAAACUCCUGUGUGUACAGUGCCUAGCACAGUGGUAUCCUAAUCUUAGUGUGGUCCCUAAGUGCUGCCAUACAUAAUUAAUGAGUAUGGUGUAUUUAAAACCGUGUAAACUGCCCCUGCUGUAAGCAUGUCACCUCUCCUCAGACUGCACUUUCACACAUCAUCACGUUUACUAAAGAAGCAAAGGAACACCCAGCUCGUGCAGAAGAAAGUUUUGGUGGAGAAGGUGUUGCUCUUUUCUCAAUCAUGAUCAACCACCAUUCAUGCAUGGUAACAGGUGGCACUCUGGUGCUGUCUUUCCACUAAAACAUGAAACCAAGGUUCUGAAGAGUAGUGGCUCAUGAAGUUUUUUGGAAAGAAUAGGGGUACAUCCUGAACAAAUUAAAAAUGUUGGUAAUUAAACGUG